GACGAACGCUGGCGGCGUGCUUAACACAUGCAAGUCGAACGGAAAGGCCUCUUUCGGGGGGUACUCGAGUGGCGAACGGGUGAGUAACACGUGAGUAACCUGCCCUUGACUUUGGGAUAACUUCAGGAAACUGGGGCUAAUACCGGAUAGGAGCUCCUGCUGCAUGGUGGGGGUUGGAAAGUUUCGGCGGUUGGGGAUGGACUCGCGGCUUAUCAGCUUGUUGGUGGGGUAGUGGUUUACCAAGGCUUUGACGGGUAGCCGGCCUGAGAGGGUGACCGGCCACAUUGGGACUGAGAUACGGCCCAGACUCCUACGGGAGGCAGCAGUGGGGAAUAUUGCACAAUGGGUGGAAGCCUGAUGCAGCAACGCCGUGUGCGGGAUGACGGCCUUCGGGUUGUAAACCGCUUUCGCUCAUGACGAAGCUUUGUGUGACGGUAGUGGGUAAAGAAGCACCGGCUAACUACGUG
rnacentral:rRNA from 1 species